CUGAGAGUUUACCGCCAGAUUCCUAUGGGGGGGUUCUCCAAGAGGCUGCAAGGAAGCCCACAAAUUUAUCUAAGGUAGGACAGGUUAUACAAGGUAAGGAGGAAAGCCUGGGGGCCUUUUUAGAGAGACUACUAGAAGCACACCGGACUCAUAUGCCCCUGGACCCAGAAGCAAGAGAAAACCAGUCUGCCGUGAACAUGGCUUUCGUCAACCAGACAGCACUAGACAUCCGCUGAAAACUCCAACAACUGGAUUAUUUUGUAGGUAAGCAAAUGUCAGAACUUGUGACAAUAGCAGAAAAAGUUUAUAAUAAUAGAGAGACUCCAGAAGAUAAACAGACUAGAGGAUUAGCCAAGAUACUACUGGCCAGCACAGGAAAAUCUGACCCAAGGAAAUUAAAAACCAUGGCAUACAGGAGAGACAGGGGCAUACCAGCCCCACAAUUGAGAGGGGAAGGACAAUACUGACCCUAUCUCCAAAAGGACCAAUGUGCUUAUUGCAAAGAGAUGGGACACUGGAAAAAUGAAUGUCCAAAAAGACAAAGGUACAAAAAUCCUGAAUUCCUGGAAAUAGAACUCAGUGACUAAGGGCAUCAGGACUCAUGACCCCUCCAUGAGUCCUGGGUAACCUUAAAGGUGGUGGGGAAACCACUGGACUUCCUGGUCAAUACUGGGGCUCAGCAUUCUAUCCUGAAUCAACCUAUGGAACCCCUGUCCACUAAGAGGACAUGGGCCCAGGGAGCCACUGGGACAAAUCAAUAUUAAUGGACUACCCAAAGAGAAGUGGACUUAGGAAUGAGACUGGUAACCCAUUCGUUCAUGGUCAUCCCUGAGUGACUCCUGGGCUUGACUAAAAUGGGGGCACGAAUCCAUUUCAGCCCCCAAGGGAGUACAGGUUCUCAAUCAGAAUGUUCCUGUACAUGUGUUGACUUUGUCACUGGAGGAAUAAUAUAAACUCUAUACUUCACCCAUCCAUAUCUCAGGAAACUAUGGGAAAGGAUUCCAGGUGCAUGGGCAGAAAGAAAUCAGACCAGGGUAGUCAAGCAUCAAGCCCCAGUCGUCAUCCAACUGAGGGCUAAUGCUGGCCCAAUCCAAGUCCACCAAUACUCUAUGGCCCAAGAGGCCAAACUUGGUAUAAUGCCUCACAUAAACCGACUUUGGGAAUAACGGAUAUUAAUCCCUUGUCAGUCUGCCUGGAAUACUCUCUCCUGCCAGUAAAGAAGCCCCACUCCAAUGACUACCAGCCUGUGCAGCAUCUAAGGGAAAUUAAUAAACGGGUGAAAGACAUCCACCCCACAGUGCUGAACCCGUAUGCUCUGCUGAGCCCUUUGCCACCUGAGUGCAGUGUGUACAUGGUGCUGAACCUUGAAGAUGUUUUCUUCAGUCAACCAAUGGCACCAACCAGCCAGUGUGUUUGCCUUUGAAUGGAAUGAUCUAGAGUGUGAAUUCAAUGGGCAAUUAACUUGGACCAGAUUGCCACAAGGAUUUAAGAACUCACCCACCAUUUUUGAUGAAGCACUCCAUGAGGAUCUGGGUGAGUACCGUCAGACCCAUCCACAAAUAACCCUCUUGCAGUAUGUAUAUGACUUCCUCAUAGCAGCCUCAGAUGAAGGAGCCUGCUGCUCAGCCACAGAGGCCUUGCUGAGGGAAUUGGACCACCUGGGAUACUGAGUUUCGACCAGAAAGGUGCAGCUCUGCCAGAGGGAAGUAACGUACCUUGGGUGCAUAGGAAGGCCAGAGCCUGUUUUCUCAAGGCCACAAAGAGACAGUCCUUAACAUCCCCCACCCCAGAACCCAGCGACAGGUACGUGAGUUCUUGGGGUCAGCAGGGUUUUGUAGACUUUGGAUACCCAGAUUCACAGAAAUUGCCAAGCCUCACCUAUGAGGUCGCAAGGGGACAAGGAAGCUCCCUUGAAUGGACUCAGAAAUGGAGAAGGCUUUCCUCCAAUUGGAAGAGCCCCUCCUUGAAGCACCAGCAUUGGCUUUGCUAGAUAUCCACAAACCUUUCCAUCUCUACAUUGAGGAGAACAAAGGCACAGCUAAAGGGGUAUUGACUCAAACUCUCGGCCCUUGGAAGAAGCCAAUUGCUUACCUAUCAAAGAAAUUAGACCCAGUGGCAAUGGGAUAGCACCUGUGCCUCCGAAUAAUAGCAGCCACUACCUUAUUGCUCAAAGACUCAGAUAAACUCACUUCAGGCCAAACCCUAAGAUUAAUUCCUCACACUAUUGAAGGAGUAGUGAGAUAGCCUCCUGGCAAGUGGCUGAUCAAUGCCAGGCUGACACAUUACCAAGCUCCUCUUCUCAACCCCCCAUGAGUCCAAUUUGCUGCCAGUCAGGCACUCAAUCCUGAAACACUCUUACCUGAACCAGACCUGGACAGUCCCAUACAUGACUGCUCAGAGAUCUUCAGCAGUUUACAAGGGACCCAACCAGAUCUCAACAAUGUUCCCCUUAAAGGGGCAGAGCUGACCUGGUAUACAGAUGGAAGCAGCUUCCUUAAGGAUAGUGUUCAGUAUGCAGGAGCUGCAGUGACAACUGAAGAGACAACUGUAUGGUCAGAAGCCCUCCCUCCAGGAAUGUCUGCCCAGAAAGCUGAAUUGAUAGCCCUGACCAAGGCCUUGCAACUAGGCCAAGGAAAGAGACUUAAUAUCUAUUAAUAUCUAUAUAUGCCUUUGCAAUGGUACAUGUUCAUGGGGCCAUUUAUGAAGAGAGGGGACUAUUGACAGUAGAAGGAAAAACCAUUAAAAUAAACAGGAGAUUUUGAACAUCCUGCGGGUUAUCUGACUCCCCAAAGAGAUUGCAAUCAUGCACUGCCCUUGUCACCAGAAAGGGGAGGAUUCCACUUCCAAAGGGAGCAACAGGGCUGAUGAGGCAGCCCUCCAGGCUGCUUCCACCCUGGUAGCAAAACUGCCUCCAAUGGUGACGCCAACCUUGCCAGAGUCACCAGACUAUACUGAUUCUCAACUACAGAGGAUCCGUAUGUGCACAGCAGCCUAUAAAGAGCAAGUAUGGUAUAAACCCCUGACGGGAGGAUCAUCCUCCCGACUUUGCUAGUUGACUUUGCUAGUCAACUCAUACACAAGAGCACACAUCUGGGUCAACAGAAGAUUGAGGACUUACUUAAGCGAGCUCACCUUUAUGUUUAUGACUUAAGACAAAAAGCAGCAGAAGCCAUAGCCCAAUGUCAUACUUGACACCUGGUCAAUACAAAAAGCCAAGUUUCUUGGUCGGGAUUCAGGGAAAGAGGAACCUGACCAGGAGUAAAUUGGGAAAUUGACUUCACAGAGAUAAAACUUGGUUUGUAUGGAAACAAGUAUUUACUGGUAUUUAUAGACGCCUUUUCAGGAUGGACUGAGGCUUUUCCAACCAAGAAUGAGACUGCCACAACUGUGGCCAAGAAACUAUUGGAUGACAUCAUUCCAAGGAAUGGUUUACCUGUUCUUCUGGGGUCAGGCAAUGGACCAGCCUUCAUCUCACAGCUUUAUUUCAGGUGCAAGAACACCUCUGUCCCAAACUGCAGGCCAUCUACAAAAAGGCACCUCCCUCUACACCUCAUGGGUUCCAACCAGGAGAUCUAGUGUUCAUCAGAAGACACGAGAAGGAGACUCUUGAACCCAGUUGGAAAGGACCCUGCACCGAGAUUCUGACCACCCCAACUGCUGUCAAGGUGGACAGUGUCUCAGCCUGGAUACACCACUCACACGUGAAACCUGUUGACCCACAUGCGGAUCCAGAUGACUACACACCUGAAAAAAAGCCAGGACUGUGGCAAGCCAUUGCGCAACCACAGGAUCCACUCAAACUGAGGAUUCGGAAGCUAGAGACUCAACAAUGAUGCUAGGGAUGUUUAUGGUUAUGCUUCUUACUGUACUCACAUGGUGCUCAGAACUUUGGGCAACCUCCACAGACCAUGCCCUCUGGUCUCACAAUCCACAUAGGCCCUAUAACCUCACUUGGAUUAUUUCCAACCCUACCACUGGAACUAUUAUCAAUUCCACUUCCCUCCUGGCCCCUCUGUAAACAUGGUGGCCAGAACUUAUUAUAGACCUCUGUGAUCUUUUUGAAGGGGAAUGGGAACCCGAUGACCAGCAGCCCUUCCCCCCCUUCAGAUGUACUUUCCCUGCUAGGAGGCAGUGAAAUCGAGCCUUAACUGUCUACGUUUGCUCUGGAAGCGACCUGACAAAGGGUCAAAAAUCCAGAUGGAGGGUCCCACACAGUACUUACUGUGCCAGGUGGGGAUGCGAAACGACUGGCACUUUUAGUUGGGCAUCCCCUGUCAAAGGAAAAGAUUUAAUUACACUGGAAAGGGCCAACUGGGGGAGGGACACAGGAGAACGCCUCAUAAAUGGGGCUUGUAAGGAAAAGCAGUGCAACCCACUAGCCAUCAGGUUUACAGAGACAGGACAAAAAAAUCGAAAUUGGAACUCUGGGAAAACCUGGGGGCUCAGACUAUACGUAACAGGAUCACACCCUGGAACCUUGUUCACUAUUAGGCUGGCAAUGAACCCAUUAAACCCGCUCCAACCCUUAGGGCCUAACCAGGUGUUGGCUCCGCCUCUGAGAACAACACCGUCCCUAACCACCCGGGCUUCUAGAUUGCUUACCACGUCAGCUCCCUCACCUUCUGCCACCCCAGCUCCAUCCCAGAUCCCCGAGGUACCAUCGUCUGAUACUGGCCCCAGGCAGGUUCUAAAAGCAACCUACCAAGUUCUCAACUCCUCCAGACCUGAACUUACUAAGGCUUGCUGGCUGUGCCUGAAUGCACAGCCUCUUUACUAUGAAGGCAUAGCAAUGCUAGAAAAUUACUCUGAAGCUACUGAGGCCACUGCCUACCAUUGGCAACAGUCAGAAAAGGUAAAGCUUACCCUCCUGUCAGUCACUGGAAAUGGACUUUGUAUUGGAAAUCAAGUUCCCCAAACCUAUUCUCAUUUAUGUAACCAAACUCAGCCCUAUAGGCACUGGAUACUUAAUUCCCCCAGAAGGUAGAUGGUGGGCUUGUACCUCAGGAUUAACCCCCUGCGUCAGUGUUCAGGUUCUCAAUCAGACAAAUGACUUCCGCGUGCUAGUACAAUUGAUCCCCCAGAUAACCUAUUACCCUGAUCAGGGUGCCCCCAACAAUUAAAGAUAACAGAACAGAAACAACGAGAAAUCAUCACUGUUGUCUUGUUUUCCUCCCUCUUAGUGUAGCUGGAGCAAUAGGCACCAGUACUUCUGCUUUUGUUUUCCAUGAUAAAAACUACAAAUAUCUUAGGUCAGCCAUAGAUGCAGAUCUAGAACAGCUGGAGAAAUCUAUUACACAUCUACAGGACUCCCUCUCCUCCCUAGCUGAAGUAGUUCUAUAAAACAGAGAUUGCAUGAAAUAAAAUGAAAUUAGAAAGGGAAAUAUCCCAAGGAUGGUACAAGUCUCUGUUUAAUUGGGCCUCCUGGUUAGCAACUCUGAUCUCAGCUCUACAGGUCCCCUCAUCCUCGUGUUGCUGGCCCUCACUUGUGGGCCGUGCGUUAUUAAUGCCUUGGUCAAAUUUGCUAAGGAUCGCAUAGCUCACAAUUAAUGGUUCUGAGACAACAGUACCAACCUUUAGAACCCUUAGAUACAUCUCAAGGAUUUGAGAUGAGGCCAUACUCAAGGGGAGAAUGAAGGGAACAAACUGAUGCCAUGACAGGCUUCAGUAAGGUGCCACCUUAAUAGGCCUAAGUUUCAGUUUCCCGGAGAGGCAGGCAGAACUUCUGGGAAAAACCACCAACAAAGGGCUAUUAAGCAACAGUGAGCCUGACAUGUGGCCAGGGAAGAUAGUUGCUCAGGGUCCUGAGUCAGUUCUUGGAGACAUGCCCAACCAUGUCUCUUUUGCGGCUUUCGCCCCAACCAAUCAAAGAUGUACAACUGUAACUACUGCUUGCCUAGCCAAUCAUGUUAAAGGAUUACCUAACCUGCCUGGAAUUCCCCUAGUUGUGCUUAAAAGGGGCCUGCGUGCUCCUCUCUGGUCGCCAUUUUGUGUGAAUGGUUGAGCCCCACAUGCUGGCUGAUUCUGCAGAAUAAACACUCUUUGUUUUUGCAUA